rnacentral:rRNA from 2 species
UCGACGGUAACAUUGAUGCUUGCAUCAGAUGACGAGUGGCGCACGGGUGAGUAACGCGUAUACAAUCUACCUUUUACAGGGGGAUAGCCUUUAGAAAUGAAGAUUAAUAUCCCAUAGUAAGUAGUUUUGGCAUCAAGACAACUUUAAAGUUUCGGCGGUAAAAGAUGAGUAUGCGUUCUAUUAGUUAGUUGGUAAGGUAACGGCUUACCAAGACCACGAUAGAUAGGGGCCCUGAGAGGGGGAUCCCCCACACUGGUACUGAGACACGGACCAGACUCCUACGGGAGGCAGCAGUGAGGAAUAUUGGACAAUGGGCGCGAGCCUGAUCCAGCCAUGCCGCGUGCAGGAAGACUGCCCUAUGGGUUGUAAACUGCUUUUAUACAGGAAGAAACCUUUUCACGUGUGAAAAGCUGACGGUACUGUAAGAAUAAGGAUCGGCUAACUCCGUGCCAGCAGCCGCGGUAAUACGGAGGAUCCAAGCGUUAUCCGGAAUCAUUGGGUUUAAAGGGUCCGUAGGUGGAUAAUUAAGUCAGGGGUGAAAGUUUGCAGCUCAACUGUAAAAUUGCCUUUGAUACUGGUUAUCUUGAAUUAUUGUGAAGUGGUUAGAAU